rnacentral:lncRNA from 1 species
GCCAUUAGUAUAUUGGAAGGCAGUCAUAGGAACAGAAACUUCUAUCUAUCAUGUUGACUCUUUGGAAUUUCAGUGUCAUACAUUCUCUUAGCCUAAGCAGUAUUUUUACAUAACAUCUCGAGAGCUGCUUAUUGAAGUCCAGGAUGUUAACCAUGGACAUGAGGCUAAACAGCCUAGGAGCAAAGUGUCCUAAUUUAUUUGUAAAUGCUUUCAAAUGUUGUGGUAGAAGUGCUCCCUAAAGUUAGAAGAGGUUGGGGGCAGGGAGACAGGGCAGGUUGGGUUCUAUUUUGAGACCCGCAGAAGAGGAAGUGAGAUGAGUUUGGAAUGUUCUGUGCCCAGCUCCUCCUAUCACCUGCUGGGGAAAGCUGGAAAAGAGGAAAUGUCCCUGGUGAACCAGGAGUGACUGUCAAGGUGAAAACCUGCACAGGGGAAAGGACAUGGAAAUAAUGGCUCAUGGAGAGGAUUUGGUUUUUGCAAGUUUCCUGAAGAAAAGAAAAGAUAAAAUGAAAUUUUUGUGGGUGCAAUACUGGUUCCAACUUCAAAAUACUACCUUCUCUUUCUUUCUGAAGAAGGGUGGAGAUGCAGUGCAGGCUGUGAGGGAAUUUGGUACACUGAAUGGUGAUUACCUCUUUGAGAUUACAAUGAAAAAUGGGAAGAAGAAAAUUCUGGCUGCAGAGACUCCCAAACUUCGUGCUAUGUGGAUUGAAACUUUAUGGAAAUCCAUGCAGCUUAUCGGGCCAUACCUCAGCCAGGCUGCCUACGGAAGGAGUGACUUUCCAAGGCCAUCUGGAGAAGCGUUACCUGGGACUGCACUUGGUGAGGAAGAACUAAGCAAAAGCCAGUCAUCUGCCAAGGAGAACUUUCCCUCUCCAGCCAAGACCAUGAAUAGCUUAAUCCCAGAAGAGAUGUUGGAAAUCAGACCCUACCAUGCUGUGCCAAAUGCAGCCUUCAAUAUUUAUGAUGUCCCAAGAUCCUGGAGGAGCAACAGGCCAGCUGAAAAUAAUCUGGGCAAGUAUAUGUAUACUUGGGGUUCCAGGAUUGGAGUCGUGGCGGGGGGAAGAGGUUAUGUGGGUGUGCAAAGCAAAGAGAGUGUUCUUAGUCAAACAAUAUUCCUUGAACGUCCGUAG